CCACAAUCGGGUCCGUACUGCC
rnacentral:siRNA from 1 species